UUUUAAGUAGACAAUGCCAUUAAAACUUGUAAAUGUUAUCAGAGUGAUGAAAACAAGGCAUCUAAUAAUAGAGAAAAGCAAAAAGAUGAUCAAAAAGCUUGCUGGCCUCACACCGAAAGUCACCUACAAAUCCCCUAAAACAAAGUCUCUGCCCCUUCUUUCUCGCUCUCAGUUUCACCCUCCACCUAAAGAAGGUAAGACUCUGGUUUGCUGCUUCCCCAAUAGAUAUAUAUGUAUUGUAUUAUAUAGGAUGACCAAUGCUUCACAUCUCAUCAAUACUUCUCUUAUCUCCUAUAUUCCUUUCUGUAUAGAAAUGAAACUCGGGCACUCUUAUUUUGCUCUUUUCUCCUUCUUCGUUUUCAUUACUCUUCCCUCCUUAAUCUCAUCCCAGGCCUGCCAGAAUUCCUGUGGCAAAAUACCCAUCAGGUAUCCAUUUGGUACUGGCCUUGGUUGUGGCGAUCCACUAUUCCAAAUUUAUGUAACUUGCAAUCAAGACAAG
rnacentral:misc_RNA from 1 species